AGUGAACGCUGGCGGUAGGCCUAACACAUGCAAGUCGAACGGCAGCACAGUAAGAGCUUGCUCUUACGGGUGGCGAGUGGCGGACGGGUGAGGAAUACAUCGGAAUCUACUUUUUCGUGGGGGAUAACGUAGGGAAACUUACGCUAAUACCGCAUACGACCUACGGGUGAAAGCAGUGGAUCUUCGGACCUUGCGCGAUUGAAUGAGCCGAUGUCGGAUUAGCUAGUUGGCGGGGUAAAGGCCCACCAAGGCGACGAUCCGUAGCUGGUCUGAGAGGAUGGUCAGCCACACGGGAACUGAGACACGGUCCAGACUCCUACGGGAGGCAGCAGUGGGGAAUAUUGGACAAUGGGCGCAAGCCUGAUCCAGCCAUACCGCGUGGGUGAAGAAGGCCUUCGGGUUGUAAAGCCCUUUUGUUGGGAAAGAAAAGCAGCAGGUUAAUACCCCGCUGUUCUGACGGUACCCAAAGAAUAAGCACCGGCUAACUUCGUG
rnacentral:rRNA from 1 species